rnacentral:lncRNA from 13 species
CUCUAACCGCGGAGGCAGAAAGAUCUUUCUAAAGUAAAAAUGAGAACUUCACACUAUCGCUGAAAAUCCUGCAAUGCUGCCUAUCAUCCCAAGCUUGUACAUUUUUAUGAAACAACUUGCCAUGCGGGAGAGAUCUACAUGCCAUGGAACUGAGAGUGGCUCCUGGCCAACAGCCAACAAGGAACUGAGAGCCUCAGUGAACUGGAUCCUGCCAACCAUCAUAAUAUACUGAUUCACAACUGAGGAUGCAUGUUAGAACCAUGAGAAGAGCUUAAAAAAAUACCAGGCAGAGACUCAACUAAAAAAGAAAACUUCAGGCCAAUAUCCAUGAUGAAUAUCAAUGCAAAAAUCUUCAAUAAAAUACUGGCAAACUGAUUGCA